GUUUGUUCGUGGUUCAGGAUGAACGUUAGCGGCAGCCUUAAUACAUGCAAGUCGAACGUCCAGCAAUGGGAGUGUCGCACGGGUGCGUAAUGCGUAUGUAACCUCCUUUAUUGAGGGGGAUAGUCCGGAGAAAUUCGGAUUAAUACUGCAUAAGAUGGAAGAGUGGCAUCAUUUUUUCAUGAAAGAUUUAUUGCGAUAAGAUGGACAUGCGUCGUGAUUAGUUAGUUGGUGAGGUAGUGGCUCAUCAAGACGAUGAUCAGUAGGGGUUAUGAGAGGAAGGUCCUCCCACACUGGCACUGAGAUACGGGCCAGACUCUUACGGGAGGCAGCAGUAGGGAAUAUUGGGCAAUGGAGGGAACUCUGAUGCCAGCCAUCCCGCGUGCAGGAGGAAGGGGCUAUGCUCUGUAAACUGCUUUAGCAGGGGAAGAAAAGGAGUCUGCGGGAGAGAUUGACGGUAUCCUGAGAAUAAGCGCCGGGUAUAUAUGUGCCAGCAGCGGCGGUAAUAUGUAGGGGGCAAGCGUUGUCUGGAUUUAUUGGGUUUAAAGGGUGCGUAGGGGGCUUUAUAAGUCAGUGUUUAAAGCACAUAGCUCUCCUAGGGAACUGGCAUUGAUACUGUAGAGCUUGAGUAGAAACGGGGCAGGCGGAAUUUAUGGUGUAGCGGUGAAAUGCAUAGAUACCAUAAAGAACACCGAUAGCGAAGGCACCUUGCCAGGAUUUUACUGACGCUGAGGCACGAAAGCGUGGGGAUCAAACAGGAUUAGAUACCCUGGUAGUGCACGCCGUAAACGAUGAU
rnacentral:rRNA from 1 species